GAGUUUGAUCCUGGCUCAGGACGAACGCUGGCGGCGUGCUUAACACAUGCAAGUCGAACGGUAAGGCCCCUUCGGGGGUACACGAGUGGCGAACGGGUGAGUAACACGUGAGUAACCUGCCCCUAACUCUGGGAUAACUCCUGGAAACAGGUGCUAAUACCGGAUACCAACUUCCUAGGCAUCUAUGAAGUUUGAAAGCUCCGGCGGUUAGGGAUGGACUCGCGGCCUAUCAGCUUGUUGGUGAGGUAACGGCUCACCAAGGCUCCGACGGGUAGCCGGCCUGAGAGGGCGACCGGCCACAUUGGGACUGAGAUACGGCCCAAACUCCUACGGGAGGCAGCAGUGGGGAAUAUUGCACAAUGGACGCAAGUCUGAUGCAGCAACGCCGCGUGCGGGAUGACGGCCUUCGGGUUGUAAACCGCUUUCAGCAGGGACGAAGCGAAAGUGACGGUACCUGCAGAAGAAGCACCGGCUAACUACGUGCCAGCAGCCGCGGUGAUACGUAGGGUGCGAGCGUUGUCCGGAUUUAUUGGGCGUAAAGAGCUUGUAGGCGGUUUGUCGCGUCGGGAGUGAAAACUCAGUGCUUAACACUGAGCCUGCUUCCGAUACGGGCAGACUUGAGGAAGGUAGGGGAGAUUGGAAUUCCUGGUGAAGCGGUGGAAUGCGUAGAUAUCAGGAGGAACACCAGUGGCGAAGGCGGAUCCCUGGACCUUUCCUGACGCUGAGAAGCGAAAGCGUGGGGAGCAAACAGGCUUAGAUACCCUGGUAGUCCACGCCGUAAACGGUGGGUACUAGGUGUGGGGUUCA
rnacentral:rRNA from 1 species